AUUGAACGCUGGCGGUAGGCCUAACACAUGCAAGUCGAACGGCAGCACAGUAAGAGCUUGCUCUUACGGGUGGCGAGUGGCGGACGGUGGAGGGAUACAUCGGAAUCUACUUUUUCGUGGGGGAGAACGUAGGGAAACUUACGCUAAUACCGCAUACGACCUACGGGUGAAAGCAGGGGAUCUUCGGACCUUGCGCGAUUGAAUGAGCCGAUGUCGGAUUAGCUAGUUGGCGGGGUAAAGGCCCACCAAGGCGACAAUCCGUAGCUGGUCUGAGAGGAUGAUCAGCCACACUGGAACUGAGACACGGUCCAGACUCCUACGGGAGGCAGCAGUGGGGAAUAUUGGACAAUGGGCGAAAGCCUGAUCCAGCCAUACCGCGUGGGUGAAGAAGGCCUUCGGGUUGUAAAGCCCUUUUGUUGGGAAAGAAAAGCAGCAGGUUAAUACCCCGCUGUUCUGACGGUACCAAAAGAAUAAGCACCGGCUAACUUCGUG
rnacentral:rRNA from 1 species